rnacentral:rRNA from 1 species
AAAUCCUGAAGCAGCAACGCCGCGUGGAGGAUGAAGGGUCUAUGACUUGUAAACUCCUGUAAAGAAGGAAAAAAUUCCCAUUUGAUGGGAGAUGAUGGUACUUCUGGAGUAAGCCCCGGCUAACUACGUGCCAGCAGCCGCAGUAAUACGUAGGGGGCAAGCGUUGUCCGGAUUUACUGGGUGUAAAGGGUGCUCAGGCGGAUUUGUAAGUCAGAGGUGAAAUCUUACAGCUUAACUGUGAAACUGCCUUUGAUACUGCGAGCCUAGAGUAUGGAAGAGAGUGAUGGAAUAUCUGGUGUAGCAGUGAAAUGCGUAGAUAGCAGAUAGAACACCAAUGGCGAAGGCAGUCACUUGAUCCAUUACUGACGCUAAAGCACGAAAGCGUGGGUAGCAAACA